AUGGAGUGAUUCAAAAAAAGAAAUGCAACUAGACAAAAUAAUGAACAACUUUCAUGUUGAUCAGUUUGCCAAAUUCCCACUGCAAAAUUGACCAAUGGAACAGUAAAGACAAAGCAUAAAAACUGAAAAUUCUGCCCAACUAACAUUAAGCUUAGAAAUGGUAUUGACAACCAAUACCAACAAAUUUUGAAUGCAAAAUGUGGUAUGUUGGGAGUGUCAAAACCAAUGUACCUAUUUUCUAUCCAAAAGUCAACAUUUUUGUUGACCAAUGAGGUGAAUAGUGACACCAAAACUUGAAAUUCAAAAUUUGAAAUUAGAAAUGCAUCUAGGGGACUUUAAAUUGCAAUUGGCAAUUAAUACUAGCAAAUGUAAAACUCAAAAUGUGGGCUCUUGGUGUAAUUAGAAUUAAUAUAUCCAUUAAGUAUAAAAAAAGUCAACAUUUUGGUUGAUUAGCAAGGUGAAUAGUAAUCAAAAUGAUUAGUAAAUUAAGAUGAAGACUUAGAACCAAUUCUAAGCUUAAAUGCUUAGAAUUGUAUGACAAAUGUGGACUAUGCAUCCUAGUCAAAAUUGUUAAAAAGAAAUUAAGGCCAUAAAUUUGAAAUCCAUGAAAUGUUCAUGGAUUACUUGGAAUAGAAAUAGUAAUUCACCUAAAUGACUUAAUAAACAUUUAAGUUAUGUGAGUAUAUAGUUAAGAUUUGUAUUCCCAUUACUAGUAGGUCUAAUAAAACAUAAGUGAUACCACUUGAAUAUGAAAUGAAAUUAACCUAGAUGGAUUGUUGAGUAUAAAUGGGAUGAGGUUUACAUUAGGACUUAUGUUUCCAUUACAAAUAAGAUAAUAAUACCUUGUAUGAGUUAUGAAUUCAUAUAAAUAUUGAAAUGAAUAAAUGAAUCACAUGAAAAUAUGAAUGGAACAUUAGUUUUCUUUAUGAAAGAAAGGAAGAAUGUCUUGAGUAUAAUGGUACAUGAACACCAUUAUUGUGAAUUGUGAUCAAUACGAAUGAUGUAAGGAAUGUAUGAAUAUUAUGAUGAAUGUAUAAAUUAUAGAAUUUGUAAUGAAAUAGUGAAGUCAUAAAACACAAUAUAUUAAUAUUUAAUGAUAUUAUGUGCCCUUGUAUUGCCUAGACAUGUGUGUCAGAUUGGAUAGUUUGGCAUGCCAAUAGGGUUCAGUUAGCAGUACUGCACAUGGCAUUAUGCCAUUCUGUGAUUUUAUGGCUUUUAGCCAUUCUGACCUUGUAUUGAGAUUUGGCCUUGUGCCUGAUGUAUUUACAGCUUGUUAGCUGUUCUGUUGCACACCGGGAGAUGCAUAUGUGACCGAUGGUGUGACGGCCCG
rnacentral:misc_RNA from 1 species